rnacentral:misc_RNA from 1 species
CUUCUUCUUCUUCUUCUUUUUUCCUAUUGUGGCGAAUCACUGUAAAGGAUGGAUUUAUGAUAUAUGAUGCUAUUGAAUACUUGACAAAAUCAAACCUAUUUCAUUCCUGUGAUUAAUUAACUUGGACAUAUUUUAGGACUACUCACUCUUUGAUGUAUCGUUGCAGUUUGGACUUUAGAAAUAGAAUACAUGGGUUAGAUUGCUUCUCUGUUGAUUUGAGUUUUAUCCAUAUUUAAAUGUCUUGAGCUGUGAUUUAGUGGUUGAUUUACAAUUCCUUCAAUGUCUAUGUAAAUGGCAGGCUAGAGAGGUUUUCCAACUCCAAUCAUGGAUACUAAUUCACUUGCUCCCCCUAAGGAUCAAAAAGAAAAAUCGAGUAUUCCUAUUGAGGUUGCUAAUGUAGAGAAACAGUUGUUGACAUCGAUCCAUACCAAAGGUAUAUUGCACUCUGAUGUUCAAGCCUUGUACAAAAACGUUUGUGCUAGUUAUGAGAAAACCAUCCUUAGUGACCGUGAAGUGGCGGAACUUCAAGAUGUUGAAUACUCUUUAUGGAAGCUUCACUAUAGGCAUAUUGAUGAAUUUCGUAAAAGAAUAAAGAAAAGCUCUGUUAAUGAAGAGGCUAACAAAUCUAUGGCAACACAAAGUGGAGCUGCUGUACAGAGAAGCAAUGACAAUCCUGUAGAAGGGUUUAAGUUAUUUCUCUUAGAAGCAACUAGAUUUUAUCAGAAUUUGAUCAUAAAGAUUAAAAGAUAUUAUGGGCUCCCAGAAGACUUUUUGUUCUGUAGAAGAGGUGGAAAUUCUGCUUCUGUUGAACCCAAAAAAAUGCAGAAAUUGCAAUUCUUAUGCCAUAGAUUUCUAGUUUGUCUUGGGGAUCUUGCUAGAUACCGAGAGCAAUGUGAAAAGUCAGACAUA